rnacentral:rRNA from 1 species
CAGUCGCCGCGGUAAUACGAAGGGGGCUAGCGUUGUUCGGAAUUACUGGGCGUAAAGCGCACGUAGGCGGAUAUUUAAGUCAGGGGUGAAAUCCCAGAGCUCAACUCUGGAACUGCCUUUGAUACUGGGUAUCUUGAGUAUGGAAGAGGUGAGUGGAAUUCCGAGUGUAGAGGUGAAAUUCGCAGAUAUUCGGAGGAACACCAGUGGCGAAGGCGGCUCACUGGUCCAUUACUGACGCUGAGGUGCGAAAGCGUGGGGAGCAAACAGGAUUAGAUCCCCCGUAGUCCCUGUCUCUUAUACA